rnacentral:rRNA from 1 species
GACGAACGCUGGCGGCGUGCUUAACACAUGCAAGUCGAGCGGAAAGGCCCUGCUUUUGUGGGGUGCUCGAGUGGCGAACGGGUGAGUAACACGUGAGUAACCUGCCCUUGACUUUGGGAUAACUUCAGGAAACUGGGGCUAAUACCGGAUAGGAGCUCCUGCUGCAUGGUGGGGGUUGGAAAGUUUCGGCGGUUGGGGAUGGACUCGCGGCUUAUCAGCUUGUUGGUGGGGUAGUGGCUUACCAAGGCUUUGACGGGUAGCCGGCCUGAGAGGGUGACCGGCCACAUUGGGACUGCGAUACGGCCCAGACUCCUACGGGAGGCAGCAGUGGGGAAUAUUGCACAAUGGGCGGAAGCCUGAUGCAGCAACGCCGCGUGCGGGAUGACGGCCUUCGGGUUGUAAACCGCUUUCGCCGGUGACGAAGCGUGAGUGACGGUAAUGGGUAAAGAAGCACCGGCUAACUACGUG